rnacentral:rRNA from 1 species
AUACGUAGGGUGCAAGCGUUAAUCGGAAUUACUGGGCGUAAAGCGUGCGCAGGCGGUUUUGUAAGACAGAGGUGAAAUCCCCGGGCUCAACCUGGGAACUGCCUUUGUGACUGCAAGGCUAGAGUACGGCAGAGGGGGAUGGAAUUCCGCGUGUAGCAGUGAAAUGCGGAGAUAUGCGGAGGAACACCGAUGGCGAAGGCAAUCCCCUGGGCCUGUACUGACGCGCAUGCACGAAAGCGUGGGGAGCAAACAGGAUUAGAUCCCCUGGUAGUCCACGCCCUAAACGAUGUCAACUGGUUGUUGGGUCUUCAUUGACUCAGUAACGAAGCUAACGCGUGGAGUUGACCGCCUGGGGAGUACGGCCGCAAGGUUGAAACUCAAAGGAAUUGACGGGG